CCUACGGGAGGCAGCAGUAGGGAAUAUUGGUCAAUGGACGCAAGUCUGAACCAGCCAUGCCGCGUGCAGGAAGACGGCCCUCUGGGUUGUAAACUGCUUUUAUAAUGGAAGAAACCCCUGGAUGCGUCCAGGGCUGACGGUACUUUAUGAAUAAGGAUCGGCUAACUUCGUGCCAGCAGCCGCGGUAAU
rnacentral:rRNA from 1 species